GGAUUGGGUAAUUUGCGCGCCUGCUGCCUUCCUUAGAUGUGGUAGCCGUUUCUCAGGCUCCCUCUCCGGAAUCGAACCCUAAUUCCCCGUUACCCGUCACUGCCACGGUAGUCCAAUACAGUACCGUCGAAAGCUGAUAGGUCAGAAACUUGAAUGAUCCGUCGCAGACCGAAGUCAACGCGAUCCGUUCGGUUACUAUGAAUCACCUGAGGACCACCGGAAGGUGGGUUGGUUCUGUAUCUAAUAAACACUGCCCUUCCAGGGGAAGAGGCAUGUGCGCAUGUAUUAGCCAUAGAAUUACCACGGUUAUCCAUGUAGUAAAGACCAUCAAAUAAACUAUAACUGUUUUAAUGAGCCAUUCGCAGUUUAGCCGUAUAAAAGCUUAUACUUAGACAUGCAUGGCUUAAUCUUUAAGACAAGCAUAUGA
rnacentral:rRNA from 1 species